CUACUCAGCUCAUGUAAAAGUUGAUUUUAUUUUGACUUAUUAAAAAUUUAGUUUGAUGUUAUAAACAAAGAAAGCUUCAAGUUAUUAAUACUCGAAUAGGUAAAUUCAAGUCGAGCUCUAAAAAUUUGAGCAAACUAAACUUGAAUUAAUUUUAAAUUAAUUUCAACUUUACCAGUAAUACCAAAUACACAACAACAGAGAAAUCUCAGCUGCAAAGAUAUGGAGGAAGAAGAAGAUGAAUUUUCUUCAAGGAAACAUGAGGAACAUCUACGCUUGUCAAGAGGGGCGAAGAAUUUUCUUGUUCACUUCCAUGGUAGGGUAUUUAUACUUUGAAUUCUGUAUUAAAAGCGAGAGCUUUUCUAAGUCGAUGAUUUGGCUUACAAGGGAAAAGGAGAAGCAGAAAUCUACUGGAAUUCUUCAAAGAGAGCAUUUGCCUUUAUUCCACCGAAUAAAAAUGUUUCCACUGAAGAUGAUUUGAAUGUCAAGAAUGGGAAAAUCGAAGGAGGUACUAAAUCUGAGAUUCGGGUUUCGAUUGGGAACUGGAAGGAUGAACCUUCGUUGGCUUCUUGGGCGACAAAAGAAGGCGAGUAGUGUUAGAUUGUCGUGGAAACUGAGAUGGAGGAUAUGUGUUUCACCUUGUCAAAAUCCUCUCCUUCAACUCCAUGUAUCACUUGAAUUUUCCUUGCAAAUUUUUUUUUCAUGUUAAUGACUUUCAGUUCUCGGAGUUUGGUGAUGAAUUCUAUUCCUUCUGGGAUUUUCUCCAAUUCCUGCAGCUUUUCUAAGUGCAAAAUCUUGAGGCAAGGCAUUGCACCCUCCUCUAUUUUCCAUUCUUGUACUCCAAGCCCUUCAAGUUUAAGAGUCUCAAGUUGAGGGAAACCAUGAGCAGAACAGCCCAUUUUUGUCCCUUUGUACGACUUAUCUUCCAAGUGUAAAAAGCUCAAAUUAGGCAGCUUCUGUAGAAAACUCAUGGGAUCCUGGUUUAGCCCAGAAUUACUCAAAAUUAACUUAUUGAGGCUUACUGGAAGAAAUUCCAAGUUGUGAUGGAGAGAACUUGGAUGUUCUGGUAUCUCUCCACGUAACUCUAGCUUCUUCAAGGAUUGACAAUGUGAAAGUGGCUCCAAACUUGGAAAUGAGCUUUCCCUUGCCAGUAUAUUCAAAGAAUGCAGGCUACCUUUUGAAAAAAUUGGAGAUUUCAUAACCAAAUCAAUUUCCUCCCUUUUGUUGAAACCUAUUGCUAUAUUUCGAAGAUUAGUCAAUUUGUGCAUUGCAUUUUUCCUUAUAAGACUUGCAGGAUGAGCCCACUUCAAAGUUUCUAGGUUUCUUAAGGUAUCCAUUCGACAAUACUCCAGAAUCUUAAGCAAGUCUACAAACAAGUGUCUCAAAUUUUUUAACUUCCAAACUACAUCAGGCAAUCUUAGUGACUGAUUAUUUCGUACAUCAAGUGUACAUAAGCUCCUCAAGUUACCUAUGGAGGUUGGCAAUGCUGCCUCCAUGGAUACUUUAGUAUUUCUUAACCCAAGAUACCUCAAAUGAAUCAGAUCGCCGAUUUCAUUCGGUAUAUAUUCAACUUUUAGACCCCAAAGAUUCAAUACUCUGAGCAGUCUGCAUUCAUCAAAGUUAAGACUUCUAUGGUCAAAUUUCAUCUCAUACCUUUGCUCUUUGAGGAAGUAGAAAAAAGAACGAUGGCGUGAAUUGCUUGGCAUCAAGGUUAUGGAAUGUAAUUGAUCAGAAUCUGGGGAUAUUUUAGGAUGAACAGCUAUCCGACGUGCCACAAUAUUCUCAUGGUAGUGCUCAGAAAUACCAAGAAAAUUCUCCUUUCUUGCCAUCAGCACACACAUGUCUCUCAUCAGAUCAUGAAUGCGACAUGUUUUGAUGCCCAUCCCAGUGUAAUCCCUUUGGCUCACUUGAACCAUGCACCUAUUUGCGAGCUCUUCCAAAUAUCGUUCACCCAUAUCUUCCAUUGCUUCAUUUCCUCCCAGUAAAGCUCGGGACAAAAAGCCCUCAGCAGCCCACAUCCUAAUUAACAUCCUCUUGUGAAUCUCCCAGUCUUCUGGAAAUUGGGAAAAAUAGAGAAAGAAUGGUUUUAAGUAAAAAGGCAAAUCAUGAUAACUCAAAGCUAAUAUACCAUAGACUCCCCCGUAUUGAUGAUGUCGUUCCCACAGAACGAAUUGUGCAUUAAUAUUGCUCCGCACUACCUCCCACUCCUUUAAUGUCUUCUUUGUUGCCAAUAACCCUCCAAGUACAACAAUGGCUAAUGGCAAGCCACCACAUUUUUUUACCAUUUCCCUUCCCAAACUCUCAUGUUCUCGUUGACAGCCAUCUUUGAUGAGAAUAUCUUUUGGGAAUGCUUUCCUACUGAGAAGUUCCCAGGCCUCAUCAUUUGUUAAAAGAGGUGGUUCCACCGGAGAGCUCCAUGGAUCAGCAUAAGCAGCAACCUCUUUGUUCCGCGUGGUUAAUAAAACUUUGCUCCCUUUCUUUCCCUUAGCUGGAAAAGCGUGUUUUAAGCUAUCCCAAACUUCAUUCUGCCAAAUAUCAUCAAGGACCACAAAAUAUCGCUUCUUCUUUAACACUUGAAAAAGUGUUUCAACUAGUUUUUCUUCACUCAUCCUUUCCAGAAUCGCAUAAAACAUGGGUGCCACUUUCAUUUGCUUCAACAUCAAUUGAAAAACUUGUUCUUCCUCCAUCCUUCUCUUCUGUUUCAACUCCAAUUUAAACAAUUGGACUUCCUCAGUCAUCUUCUUUUUUUUCAACCCCAUUUUAAACAAUUGGACUUCCUCCAUCUUUUUCUUUGGUUUCAACUGCAAUUUAAACAAUUGGACUUCCUCCAUCCAUUUCUUUUGUUUCAAUUCCAAUUUAAACGAUUGGACUUCCUCCUUCCAUUUCUCUGAAUUCAACAUCAA